UGGAUUGCUAUGAUGAUACAUCAGAGUUUCGGACUAGAGUUUCUGAUCUGGCUUGACCAGUUUGACGAGAAAUCUCUUGGCUGGCUGAGCAUUCCA
rnacentral:snoRNA from 1 species